rnacentral:lncRNA from 1 species
UAUGUUUGCUCACGCCGUUCGGCCGUUCCACGAGAAAAUCAUGUGGUAACGUUCCGUAUGACCGUUUCGUGAAUCCUCCACAUGCGAGCGGCAGUUCUGUAUACCGUUCUCACACACAGAGCUUCCAUAGUCGUCUACUCCUAUAAAACGCACCCCCAUUUUUUCAGUUUUUAUACAAAAAAAAUAUCGAGUCUUCUUAUCUUCAAAAAUUUCUCUUCCAUCUUCAAAAAUUCUCUCUUUCGUUCAUUUUGUUGAUUGGAC